rnacentral:rRNA from 1 species
GGUUAAGCGACUAAGCGUACACGGUGGAUGCCCUGGCAGUCAGAGGCGAUGAAGGGCGUGCUAAUCUGCGAUAAGCGCCGGUAAGGUGAUAUGAACCGUUAUAACCGGCGAUACCCGAAUGGGGAAACCCAGUGUGACUCGUCACACUAUCAUUAACUGAAUCCAUAGGUUAAUGAGGCGAACCGGGGGAACUGAAACAUCUAAGUACCCCGAGGAAAAGAAAUCAACCGAGAUUCCCCCAGUAGCGGCGAGCGAACGGGGAGGAGCCCAGAGCCUGAAUCAGCAUGUGUGUUAGUGGAAGCGUCUGGAAAGGCGCGCGAUACAGGGUGACAGCCCCGUACACAAAAGCGCAUGUGCUGUGAGCUCGAUGAGUAGGGCGGGACACGUGGUAUCCUGUCUGAAUAUGGGGGGACCAUCCUCCAAGGCUAAAUACUCCUGACUGACCGAUAGUGAACCAGUACCGUGAGGGAAAGGCGAAAAGAACCCCGGCGAGGGGAGUGAAAAAGAACCUGAAACCGUGUACGUACAAGCAGUGGGAGCACCCUUCGGGGUGUGACUGCGUACCUUUUGUAUAAUGGGUCAGCGACUUAUAUUCUGUAGCAAGGUUAACCGAAUAGGGGAGCCGGAGGGAAACCGAGUCUUAAUUGGGCGUUAAGUUGCAGGGUAUAGACCCGAAACCCGGUGAUCUAGCCAUGGGCAGGUUGAAGGUUGGGUAACACUAACUGGAGGACCGAACCGACUAAUGUUGAAAAAUUAGCGGAUGACCUGUGGCUGGGGGUGAAAGGCCAAUCAAACCGGGAGAUAGCUGGUUCUCCCCGAAAGCUAUUUAGGUAGCGCCUCGUGAAUUCAUCUCCGGGGGUAGAGCACUGUUUCGGCUAGGGGGCCAUCCCGGCUUACCAACCCGAUGCAAACUGCGAAUACCGGAGAAUGUUAUCACGGGAGACACACGGCGGGUGCUAACGUCCGUCGUGAAGAGGGAAACAACCCAGACCGCCAGCUAAGGUCCCAAAGUCAUGGUUAAGUGGGAAACGAUGUGGGAAGGCCCAGACAGCCAGGAUGUUGGCUUAGAAGCAGCCAUCAUUUAAAGAAAGCGUAAUAGCUCACUGGUCGAGUCGGCCUGCGCGGAAGAUGUAACGGGGCUAAACCAUGCACCGAAGCUGCGGCAGCGACACUAUGUGUUGUUGGGUAGGGGAGCGUUCUGUAAGCCUGUGAAGGUGUGUCGUGAGGCAUGCUGGAGGUAUCAGAAGUGCGAAUGCUGACAUAAGUAACGAUAAAGCGGGUGAAAAGCCCGCUCGCCGGAAGACCAAGGGUUCCUGUCCAACGUUAAUCGGGGCAGGGUGAGUCGACCCCUAAGGCGAGGCCGAAAGGCGUAGUCGAUGGGAAACGGGUUAAUAUUCCCGUACUUGGUGUUACUGCGAAGGGGGGACGGAGAAGGCUAUGUUAGCCGGGCGACGGUUGUCCCGGUUUAAGCGUGUAGGUGUGUGUUCCAGGUAAAUCCGGUUCACUUUAACACUGAGGCGUGACGACGAGGCACUACGGUGCUGAAGCAACAAAUGCCCUGCUUCCAGGAAAAGCCUCUAAGCAUCAGGUAACAUCAAAUCGUACCCCAAACCGACACAGGUGGUCAGGUAGAGAAUACCAAGGCGCUUGAGAGAACUCGGGUGAAGGAACUAGGCAAAAUGGUGCCGUAACUUCGGGAGAAGGCACGCUGACACGUAGGUGAAGUGAUUUACUCACGGAGCUGAAGUCAGUCGAAGAUACCAGCUGGCUGCAACUGUUUAUUAAAAACACAGCACUGUGCAAACACGAAAGUGGACGUAUACGGUGUGACGCCUGCCCGGUGCCGGAAGGUUAAUUGAUGGGGUCAGCGCAAGCGAAGCUCCUGAUCGAAGCCCCGGUAAACGGCGGCCGUAACUAUAACGGUCCUAAGGUAGCGAAAUUCCUUGUCGGGUAAGUUCCGACCUGCACGAAUGGCGUAAUGAUGGCCAGGCUGUCUCCACCCGAGACUCAGUGAAAUUGAACUCGCUGUGAAGAUGCAGUGUACCCGCGGCAAGACGGAAAGACCCCGUGAACCUUUACUAUAGCUUGACACUGAACAUUGAGCCUUGAUGUGUAGGAUAGGUGGGAGGCUUUGAAGCGUGGACGCCAGUCUGCGUGGAGCCGACCUUGAAAUACCACCCUUUAAUGUUUGAUGUUCUAACGUGGACCCGUAAUCCGGGUUGCGGACAGUGUCUGGUGGGUAGUUUGACUGGGGCGGUCUCCUCCUAAAGAGUAACGGAGGAGCACGAAGGUUGGCUAAUCCUGGUCGGACAUCAGGAGGUUAGUGCAAUGGCAUAAGCCAGCUUGACUGCGAGCGUGACGGCGCGAGCAGGUGCGAAAGCAGGUCAUAGUGAUCCGGUGGUUCUGAAUGGAAGGGCCAUCGCUCAACGGAUAAAAGGUACUCCGGGGAUAACAGGCUGAUACCGCCCAAGAGUUCAUAUCGACGGCGGUGUUUGGCACCUCGAUGUCGGCUCAUCACAUCCUGGGGCUGAAGUAGGUCCCAAGGGUAUGGCUGUUCGCCAUUUAAAGUGGUACGCGAGCUGGGUUUAGAACGUCGUGAGACAGUUCGGUCCCUAUCUGCCGUGGGCGCUGGAGAACUGAGGGGGGCUGCUCCUAGUACGAGAGGACCGGAGUGGACGCAUCACUGGUGUUCGGGUUGUCAUGCCAAUGGCACUGCCCGGUAGCUAAAUGCGGAAGAGAUAAGUGCUGAAAGCAUCUAAGCACGAAACUUGCCCCGAGAUGAGUUCUCCCUGAGACUUAGAGUCUCCUGAAGGAACGUUGAAGACGACGACGUUGAUAGGCCGGGUGUGUAAGCGCAGCGAUGCGUUGAGCUAACCGGUACUAAUGAACCGUGAGGCUUAACCUU